rnacentral:lncRNA from 1 species
AACAAAAGAUUUUAGUCUUGGAGUAAAUGAAAAGAGACUGAAAAUCAUCUUUCUAAGAAAGUCGAUGGGUCCAUAGGUCAAGACUGUCAGAUGGACCUAGAACGACAAUCCAAUAACAAUGCACUGACCACAUCAGAUGCGUAACCGGCACCACUCACAAGCAAAACUGUGCCAUCCAUGUAGCACAAACAGAAGCUUAGGUGCAGACAUUCAAAAAAUCCACCAUGCCACCUAGUGCAAAUACAAACAAGUACUGCCUCAAAAGGAGGUAGGUGCCAUACCUACAAAUUGUAUGCUACAUUUGUUUUAUGCUGGUAAUUACUGUAGCGUAAGAAGAAUAUCCAUACUUGAAAUCUCUAACCACUAAAAUUUCCUCCAAAAACCAUGUCAAGUUGGCCAAAUUAAGAUUUAAACCAUUCAGCUCACAGAUUUUGAAAUGCUCCGCCCCCAUAUGGGCUAGAUCUUCACAAUCUGUUCCAAAAUGUUCUCAGAUGAGAGUCUAUAUGGUUCAAUUGAAUCAAAGUAGCUAGGGAACUAGCCAUGAAUGUGAUUCAAACAAAAGAUUUUAGUCUUGGAGUAAAUGAAAAGAGACUGAAAAUCAUCUUUCUAAGAAAGUAGAUUUUAUCUCCUUUAUGCAUUUAUGGAAUGCAAAACUGUUCCUAGGAUCUGAAACAUUAAUAUGAGACUUUGGAGUUUGGAAUGUCUAAGACUGUGCUGAUAAGCUUUUUGGCAUGCUCAUUCCGAUGGAUGUAAAAGAAGAGCCAUUUGUAUCAACAGAAUUCUGG